rnacentral:tRNA from 1 species
GCAUUGGUGGCUCAGUGGUAGAGCUCCCGUCUCCCGCAUGAGAAACCGGGUUCGAACCCUGGCCAGUGCC